rnacentral:lncRNA from 1 species
UCCCCCUCAGGGCCCGGCUCUCCGGGGGCCCGGGCCCGUGCGGCGCAGGCAGGGCUGCGGCUCGGGCUGUUUGUGGCGGGGGUCUCACAGAGAACAGCUGCAGAGCAUGAUAGCAACAGAAGCACGGAAGUGGAAGGCUGAGAUGGCAAAAAGGAAUCUGAACCCCGGGUACGGGAACAGUGCCCACACAGCAAAGCUAGUGAAGGAACGUUCAAAGAUAUGGGGGAUGACCAAAGCAGAAGAGACUCCAGUGGUAUGAAGGGAGAGAAAGCUGUGGAUAUCUUGUCUUGACUGUGUCCCACCCAGAACUGGGACCCCAAUUGCAAACCCACACAAGGCCAGGACAAGAAGAGCCAGUGGUUUCACAGAAUAAAGGAGUAAGCAAACCAAGGGACUGGUACCAAGUGCUGGAGGAGUACAAGGAAGAAGCUGGAAAAGCAGUGCUCACUUGCUGGAUUCUUGUGGUUUACGAUGGACACCAUUAAUGCCAGGCUGUACAUGUGCCAGGGAAUGUGCAGAAAUCUCAUCCUGAGCAUGUCCACAGAACCCAGCAUGUUGCAGUGCAGGAGGCUGUUUCCACCUUUCACAUCUUUGACAUUGUUAGAAAUCUUCAUACAGCCUCAUUUUACAAACUUAGGUUCAAAUUUCUCCCUUCUUCUCAACCUUCCUGUUGCUUUGGGGACCUGCAAUUCUUUCACCAUACCAAGAUCUCUCUCUCAGGGAUGCAGUCUGACAGGAGAGCAAGUCCUGAUUAAGCUGAGUACUUGGAUCAAGAAUUUAUGGCUUGUGUUCAAAAACAUUUUAAAAAGUAGUCCUGCUGUGGAAGAGAUACAGAAGAUGUACAUGGAGCUCUCCAUGACUCAUAAGCAAAUGCAUGGAAGUAGUGUACUGUACCCUCACAAGGAACUGUUCAAAGGAUGCCUCACAAUAGUAGAGGGGAUAAAAAAGUGGCAUAAUCCUGCUCUGGGGCAGUUCUUUCACUCCAGACUGUGGCUCCACAUUGCAGUUUUCAGCCAUGGAAGGGAAUGAUCACCAAGCAGAAAGAAAUAAUUGGGUCAGAACUGUGAUUACAGUGUAGUUCUGUUUUGCUAGUUGAACUAGUAUGUUACUGAAAAGAUUUAAGAAUUUUGGAUUGGUAACACAAAUGAACAGGCAGAAUGAGAACAGAAAACAAAUUAAACUUGAAGCCACUCUAUUUUUCUGUUUUAUUUUCUUUCCUGGGGUUUGCUGGGCAGUACAAAUGUUGCCUUGUUGACAUUCCUAUAGCCAACAGCACAUUUUCUCUGUUUGAUAAGGGAACAAGUCUUUUCCACUUACCUGGGAGAACAGCACACUCAAAGCAAAACUAUUAUUUAUUUAUAGAAAAUAUGGGAAGGUACUUAGAGAAGAUCAAGUAUGUAGACUGAAAUGCCAAGGUUUUCUUUUACAUCACAGAUGGAAGUGAUUUGCUGUCAUCCCUCAUUUGGAAGAUCCUCAUCAUUGUGCAUGUUCUAACCCAUCCAUCCCCGUGCAGAAUAUCCAGGCCUCUGUGUGCUGGGUUGUCAUGGGUACCUAUGUGUAUCCAUGAACUCUGUUCAGAUGGAGCCUAAACAGUCACAUCAACUAAAAAAAAACACCUAAACCUACACAGAGAAAAAUUCUCUUUUCAUCAAAAGAGCUGAAUUUGAGCUCACACUUCUUUCUGUCUCUCCACAGAAGCUUGUUUACUCAAAAGCAGCAAAAUAUAAAACAUUUACAAAAACAUCAGCAUAGCUGCAGCUUUGGAGUGAGGCUGAGGGAAAGAAUGUUUUUAUUUUCCCAGAGGAGGGGUAGAAUGACUGUUUUGGACUCAUGACCUUGGAGAAAUGAAGGACCCUCAGAAAGUUCUGGGGUUGGGUCCUGCCUUUCACCUACUCCAACAUUUAUGGUUGUAGCCAAAGGACAGACUGAGUCCUACCACCAGCUGCCAUCUCUCCCUCUCCUAGGAGCAGGGGAAGCAGCAGAUUGGAAGUAAAUCACUACAAAAUGCAGUAUCAAGUAAGGAUUCGAGCUUUCUGCCCCCUGUUCCACCUACUCUAGAGAUAUUUCCCAGCCUGUGGCCCAUGGGUUCCCAAUUUUGAUGGAAAACACAGGCUGAUUUUGAAAUGUGACAGCGAUUCAGAGGGAGGGAGGAGAGACUGCCAGAUGGCUCUGCUUUGCACCUUCUUCAGUUAGCAGGAUAACACUUUGUGAUUUGCCAUAAAUUUACCAUUUUCUGCUGUGCUGUGGAAUGAAGCUAAACUUUUGGCCUCUUGGCUCCAUCUUUCCACAUAAGACCAAAAUGACGCAGUAUCGUGGAGGGAGGAGGAAGAAUAUCUGCUCUUGCAUGUGCAAAGGGAAUAAAUGGGGGUGUGCUGUGGAAGGAAGGAGAAGC